rnacentral:tRNA from 1 species
UCCGCGGUAGCUCAGCUGGUAGAGCGGUCGGCUGUUAACCGAUUGGUCGCAGGUUCGAGUCCUGCCCGCGGAG